GGGCCCGCACAAGCGGUGGAGCAUGUGGUUUAAUUCGAAGCAACGCGAAGAACCUUACCAGGGCUUGACAUCCCCUGACCGCUAUGGAAACAUAGCUUCUCUUCGGAGCAGGGAGACAGGUGGUGCAUGGUUGUCGUCAGCUCGUGUCGUGAGAUGUUGGGUUAAGUCCCGCAACGAGCGCAACCCUUGUCAUUAGUUGCCAGCAUUAAGUUGGGCACUCUAAUGAGACUGCCGGUGACAAACCGGAGGAAGGUGGGGAUGACGUCAAAUCAUCAUGCCCCUUAUGUCCUGGGCUACACACGUGCUACAAUGGUCUGUACAGAGGGCAGCGAAGUGGCGACACGGAGCGAAUCCCAGAAAGCAGAUCUCAGUUCGGAUUGCAGGCUGCAACUCGCCUGCAUGAAGUCGGAAUCGCUAGUAAUCGCAGGUCAGCAUACUGCGGUGAAUACGUUCCCGGGCCUU
rnacentral:rRNA from 1 species